UCCCUGGUGGCUCAGACAGUAAAACGUCUGCCUACGUUGCAGGAGACCCAGGUUCAAUCCCUGGUUUGGGAA
rnacentral:tRNA from 1 species